GCCAGUCACAGCAGCAGGCAGGCCCGAAGCCUGAAGAUCGCUGCGAAUGACUGAUGAAACGGGGACGCCGGUUUGUGGAACCGGAGGUCCUCAGUUCAAGCCUGAGAGGCGGUACCA
rnacentral:tRNA from 1 species